AUUGGUUUUUCUGUUAUUGAAUGUGUUUUUAUAUUGUCUUCUUCCCAACCCUUCUUCCAGUGGGUGCAGGUGGAGUUUCUUCCUCUCCUGGUGAAAAUGGGUUCAAGGUUCCCUUCUGA
rnacentral:lncRNA from 1 species